rnacentral:rRNA from 1 species
AGCGAACGCUGGCGGCAGGCCUAACACAUGCAAGUCGAACGAAGUCUUCGGACUUAGUGGCGGACGGGUGAGUAACACGUGGGAACGUGCCUUUAGGUUCGGAAUAACUCAGGGAAACUUGUACUAAUACCGAAUGUGCCCUUCGGGGAAAGAUUUAUCGCCUUUAGAGCGGCCCGCGUCUGAUUAGCUAGUUGGUGAGGUAAAGGCUCACCAAGGCGACGAUCAGUAGCUGGUCUGAGAGGAUGAUCAGCCACAUUGGGACUGAGACACGGCCCAAACUCCUACGGGAGGCAGCAGUGGGGAAUCUUGCGCAAUGGGCGAAAGCCUGACGCAGCCAUGCCGCGUGAAUGAUGAAGGUCUUAGGAUUGUAAAAUUCUUUCACCGGGGACGAUAAUGACGGUACCCGGAGAAGAAGCCCCGGCUAACUUCGUGCCAGCCGCCGCAGUAAAAC